GCCAGCAUGGUGUAAAGGCUUGCGCAUUGGACUAUGACUCUGGAGACUAGGGUUCAAAUCCCAGUUUGGCC